CAAUACCCUAUCGAACCUAGGCAGUUCGAUAUGUGCCUGCGAGCACUGUAGCAUCACUAUAGCGUGCUGUUCGAUAGGUACUCCUAUCGAACCGCGGUUGUUCGACAAGGUG
rnacentral:pre_miRNA from 1 species